rnacentral:rRNA from 1 species
CAGUCGCCGCGGUAAUACGAAGGGUGCGAGCGUUAAUCGGAAUUACUGGGCGUAAAGCGUGCGCAGGCGGUUGUGUAAGACAGGUGUGAAAUCCCCGGGCUUAACCUGGGACCUGCGCUUGUGACUGCAAAGCUAGAGUAUGGCAGAGGGAGGUGGAAUUCCACGUGUAGCAGUGAAAUGCGUAGAGAUGUGGAGGAACACCGAUGGCGAAGGCAGCCUCCUGGGCCAAUACUGACGCUGAUGCACGAAAGCGUGGGGAGCAAACAGGAUUAGAUACCCCCGUAGUCCCUGUCUCUUAUAC